rnacentral:rRNA from 1 species
UACGGGGGGGGCAAGCGUUGUUCGGAAUUACUGGGCGUAAAGGGCUCGUAGGUGGCCAACUAAGUCAGACGUGAAAUCCCUCGGCUUAACCGGGGAACUGCGUCUGAUACUGGAUGGCUUGAGAUUGGGAGAGGGAUGCGGAAUUCUAGGUGUAGCGGUGAAAUGCGUAGAUAUCUGGAGGAACACCGGUGGCGAAGGCGGCAUCCUGGACCAACACUGACACUGAGGAGCGAAAGCCAGGGGAGCAAACGGG